rnacentral:tRNA from 2 species
CGCGGGAUAGAGCAGUCCGGUAGCUCGUUGGGCUCAUAACCCAAAGGCCGUAGGUUCAAAUCCUACUCCCGCAACCA